GAUGAAGAACGUAGCGAAAUGCGAUAAGUAGUGUGAAUUGCAGAAUUCAGUGAAUCAUCGAAUCUUUGAACGCACAUUGCGCCCUUUGGUAUUCCAAAGGGCAUGCAUGUUCGAGCGUCAUUUGUACCCUCAAGCUUUGCUUGGUGUUGGGCGUCUUGUCUCUAGCUUUGCUGGAGACUCGCCUUAAAGUAAUUGGCAGCCGGCCUACUGGUUUCGGAGCGCAGCACAAGUCGCACUCUCUAUCAGCAAAGGUCUAGCAUCCAUUAAGCCUUUUUUUCAACUUUUGACCUCGGAUCAGGUAGGGAUACCCGCUGAACUUAAGCAUAUCAAUAAGCGGAGGA
rnacentral:misc_RNA from 1 species